rnacentral:rRNA from 1 species
AUGGAGAUAAGAGAUGGCUGGAAACGCCUUAAGGUGAAGAAAGGGCGGGGGUGGAUGGCCUGAUAAUAGGAUAACUCCGGGAAACCGGGGCUAAUACCGGAUGGUUGUUUGAACCGCAUGGUUCAAACAUAAAAGGGGGCUUCGGCUGCCACUUUCAGAUGGACCCGCGGCGCAUUAGCUGUUUGGUGAGGUAACGGCUCACCAAGGCAACGAUGCGUAGCCUUACUGAGAGGGUGAUCGGCCACACUGGGACUGAGACACGGCCCAGACUCCUACGGGAGGCAGCAGUAGGGAAUCUUCCGCAAUGGACGAAAGUCUGACGGAGCAACGCCGCGUGAGUGAUGAAGGUUUUCGGAUCGUAAAGCUCUGUUGUUAGGGAAGAACAUGUACCGUUCGAAUAGGGCGGUACCUUGACGGUACCUAACCAGAAUGCCACGGCUAACUACGUGCCAGCAGCCGCGGAAUACGUAGGUGGCAAGCGUUGUCCGGAAUUAUUGGGCGUAAAGGGCUCGCAGGCGGUUUCUUAAGUCUGAUGUGAAAGCCCCCGGCUCAACCGGGGAGGGUCAUUGGAAACUGGGGAACUUGAGUGCAGAAGAGGAGAGUGGAAUUCCACGUGUAGCGGUGAAAUGCGUAGAGAUGUGGAGGAACACCAGUGGCGAAGGCGACUCUCUGGUCUGUAACUGACGCUGAGGAGCGAA